rnacentral:rRNA from 1 species
UAGCAAGUCGACCAAAGGCGAAAGCAGUCAUCAAGGGCACGCCCGUUGAUCAAGAGCGAAAGUUAAGGGUUCGAAGACGAUCAGAUACCGUCGUAGUCUUAACUAUAAAUGAUACAGACCAGGGAUAGGACACUGUCCAUCUCGACUCCUCCCGAACCUUGGAGAAAUUAGAGUCUUUGGGUUCUGGGGGGAGUAUGGUCGCAAGGCUGAAACUUAAAGGAAUUGACGGAAGGGCACACAAAGAGUGGAACCUGCGGCUUAAUUUGACUCAACACGGGAAAACUCACCAGGUCCGGAUACACGUAUGAAAGUCAAGCUGAAAGACUUUACUCAAUGAUGUAAGUGGUGGUGCAUGGUCGUUCUUAGUUCGUGGAUUGAUUUGUCUGGUCUAUUCCGAUAACGAGCGAGACCCCAACGUUCCUAAUAGGGGGGGCAGCCCGGCCGGUCCCGCAAGGGGCCGGUCAGCGGCCCCCUAAGAUUUCUACUUCUUAGACGUAUCAGAGCCGAUAAGGUUCUUGAAAUGGGUUAAUAACAGGUCAGUCAUGCCCUUAGAUGUUCUGGGCCGCACGCGCGUUACAAUGGCAUGUAAAGAAGGUGCUUCUCCAAAGGCGUAUCCGGGGUCGAAAGGCCCUGGUAACCCUUAGUCCCUGCCUUGACUGGGACAGAUCUUUGCAAUUAUUGGUCUCUAACGAGGAAUUUUUAGUAAGCACAGGUCAUUAACCUGUGCUGAAUGCGUCCCUGCCCUUUGUACACACCGCC